GAUGAAGAACGCAGCGAAAUGCGAUAAGUAAUGUGAAUUGCAGAAUUCAGUGAAUCAUCGAAUCUUUGAACGCACAUUGCGCCCUUUGGUAUUCCGAAGGGCAUGCCUGUUCGAGCGUCAUUAUAACCACUCAAGCCUUCGCUUGGUCUUGGGGUUCGCGAUCGCGCGGCCCCUAAAAUCAGUGGCGGUGCCGGUCGGCUCUACGCGUAGUAAUGCUCCUCGCGAUUGGGUCCGGUCGGUGGCCUGCCAGCAACCCCCAAAUUUUACAGGUUGACCUCGGAUCAGGUAGGGAUACCCGCUGAACUUAAGCAUAUCAAUAAGCGGAGGA
rnacentral:misc_RNA from 1 species